GUCCACGCUGUAAACGAUGAAGACUAGAUGUUGGCCUGCGCAAGUAGGUGAGUAUCGAAGCUAACGCGAUAAGUCUUCCGCCUGGGAAGUACGGCCGCAAGGUUAAAACUCAAAGGAAUUGACGGGGGCCCCGCACAAGCGGUGGAGCAUGUGGUUCAAUUAGAUGCAACGCGAAGAACCUUACCUACUCUUGACAUCCUGAGAAUCUUGUAGAGAUACGAGAGUGCCGAAAGGAAUUCAGAGACAGGUGCUGCAUGGCUGUCGU
rnacentral:rRNA from 1 species